GGAGGGUUGGCAGAAUGGUAAUGCAGCGGUCUUGAAAACCGCCGGGCGCAAGCCCUUAGAGGUUCGAGCCCUCUACCCUCCGCCA
rnacentral:tRNA from 1 species